AGAGUUUGAUCCUGGCUCAGAUUGAACGCUGGCGGCAUGCUUUACACAUGCAAGUCGAACGGCAGCGCGGGGCAACCUGGCGGCGAGUGGCGAACGGGUGAGUAAUAUAUCGGAACGUACCCAAGAGUGGGGGAUAACGUAGCGAAAGUUACGCUAAUACCGCAUACGAUCUAAGGAUGAAAGCAGGGGAUCUUCGGACCUUGUGCUCCUGGAGCGGCCGAUAUCUGAUUAGCUAGUUGGUGAGGUAAAGGCUCACCAAGGCCACGAUCAGUAGCUGGUCUGAGAGGACGACCAGCCACACUGGAACUGAGACACGGUCCAGACUCCUACGGGAGGCAGCAGUGGGGAAUUUUGGACAAUGGGGGCAACCCUGAUCCAGCCAUGCCGCGUGAGUGAAGAAGGCCUUCGGGUUGUAAAGCUCUUUCAGCCGGGAAGAAAACGCAUGGGUUAAUACCCUGUGUGGAUGACGGUACCGGAAUAAGAAGCACCGGCUAACUACGUGCCAGCAGCCGCGGUAAUACGUAGGGUGCGAGCGUUAAUCGGAAUUACUGGGCGUAAAGCGUGCGCAGGCGGUUUUGUAAGACAGGCGUGAAAUCCCCGGGCUUAACCUGGGAACUGCGUUUGUGACUGCAAAGCUAGAGUACGGCAGAGGGGGGUGGAAUUCCACGUGUAGCAGUGAAAUGCGUAGAGAUGUGGAGGAACACCAAUGGCGAAGGCAGCCCCCUGGGUCGAUACUGACGCUCAUGCACGAAAGCGUGGGUAGCAAACAGGAUUAGAUACCCUGGUAGUCC
rnacentral:rRNA from 1 species